CCAACGGCUCUUUUAAGAGCCACCCAAGUCACAGGAAAACGGCA
rfam:Myotis davidii contig124569, whole genome shotgun sequence.